CCUACGGGAGGCAGCAGUGGGGGAUAUUGCACAAUGGGGGAAACCCUGAUGCAGCGACGCCGCGUGGGUGAAGAAGUAUUUCGGUGUGUAAAGCUCUGUCAGCAGGGAAGAAAAUGACGGUACCUGACCAAGAAGCCCCGGCUAACUACGUGCCAGCAGCCGCGGUAAUACGUAGGGGGCAAGCGUUAUCCGGAUUUACUGGGUGUAAAGGGGGCGUAGACGGCGGGGCAAGCCUGGAGGGAAAGGCGGGGGCCCAACCCCCGGACUGCUCUGGAAACUGCCUGGCUGGAGUGCAGGAGAGGUAAGUGGAAUUCCGGGUGUAGCGGUGAAAUGCGGAGAUAUUAGGAGGAACACCAGUGGCGAAGGCGGCUUACUGGACUGCAACUGACGUUGAGGCUCGAAAGCGUGGGGAGCAAACAGGAUUAGAUACCCUGGUAGUC
rnacentral:rRNA from 1 species